rnacentral:rRNA from 1 species
GACGAACGCUGGCGGCGUGCCUAAUACAUGCAAGUCGAGCGGACUGAAUGGGAGCUUGCUCUUGUUCGGUCAGCGGCGGACGGGUGAGUAACACGUGGGCAACCUGCCCGCAAGACCGGGAUAACUCCGGGAAACCGGAGCUAAUACCGGAUAACACCGAAGACCGCAUGGUCUUUGGUUGAAAGGCGGCGCAAGCUGCCACUUGCGGAUGGGCCCGCGGCGCAUUAGCUAGUUGGUGAGGUAACGGUUCACCAAGGCGACGAUGCGUAGCCGGCCUGAGAGGGGGGACCGCCACACUGGGACUGAGACACGGCCCAGACUCCUACGGGAGGCAGCAGUAGGGAAUCUUCCGCAAUGGGCGAAAGCCUGACGGAGCGACGCCGCGUGAGCGAAGAAGGCCUUCGGGUCGUAAAGCUCUGUUGUGAGGGACGAAGGAGCGCCGUUUGAAGAAGGCGGCGCGGUGACGGUACCUCACGAGGAAGCCCCGGCUAACUACGUG